AGAGUUUGAUCAUGGCUCAGGACGAACGCUGGCGGCGCGCCUAACACAUGCAAGUCGAACGGAGCUUAGAGAGCUUGCUUUUUAAGCUUAGUGGCGAACGGGUGAGUAACGCGUGAGUAACCUGCCCUAGAGUGGGGGACAACAGUUGGAAACGACUGCUAAUACCGCAUAAGCCCACGGUGCCGCAUGGUACUGAGGGAAAAGGNUUUAUUCGCUUUAGGAUGGACUCGCGUCCAAUUAGCUAGUUGGUGAGGUAACGGCCACCAAGGCGACGAUUGGUAGCCGGACUGAGAGGUUGAACGGCCACAUUGGGACUGAGACACGGCCCAGACUCCUACGGGAGCA
rnacentral:rRNA from 1 species